AGAGUUUGAUCAUGGCUCAGGAUGAACGCUGGCGGCGUGCCUAAUACAUGCAAGUCGAGCGAACCACUUCGGUGGUGAGCGGCGAACGGGUGAGUAACACGUAGGUGAUCUGCCCAUCAGACGGGGACAACGAUUGGAAACGAUCGCUAAUACCGGAUAGGACGAAAGUUUAAAGGUGCUUCUGGCACCGCUGAUGGAUGAGCCUGCGGCGCAUUAGCUAGUUGGUAGGGUAAAGGCCUACCAAGGCGACGAUGCGUAGCCGACCUGAGAGGGUGAACGGCCACACUGGGACUGAGACACGGCCCAGACUCCUACGGGAGGCAGCAGUAGGGAAUCUUCGGCAAUGGGCGAAAGCCUGACCGAGCAACGCCGCGUGAAUGAUGAAGGCCUUCGGGUUGUAAAAUUCUGUUAUAAGGGAAGAACGACUUUAGUAGGAAAUGGCUAGAGUGUGACGGUACCUUAUGAGAAAGCCACGGCUAACUACGUGCCAGCAGCCGCGGUAAUACGUAGGUGGCGAGCGUUAUCCGGAAUUAUUGGGCGUAAAGAGCGCGCAGGUGGUUGAUUAAGUCUGAUGUGAAAGCCCACGGCUCAACCGUGGAGGGUCAUUGGAAACUGGUCGACUUGAGUGCAGAAGAGGGAAGUGGAAUUCCAUGUGUAGCGGUGAAAUGCGUAGAGAUAUGGAGGAACACCAGUGGCGAAGGCGGCUUCCUGGUCUGUAACUGACACUGAGGCGCGAAAGCGUGGGGAGCAAACAGGAUUAGGUACCCUGGUAGUCCACGCCGUAAACGAUGAGUGCUAAGUGUUGGGGGUCGAACCUCAGUGCUGAAGUUAACGCAUUAAGCACUCCGCCUGGGGAGUACGGUCGCAAGACUGAAACUCAAAUGAAUUGACGG
rnacentral:rRNA from 1 species